AGUGCUUCGUGGCCGUGAGAGGCAUUGGAGCCUCGUAGUACUGGUUCGGCUCCUCUGAUUGGUUUCGUGUGGGAAGAGGACACGACCGGAAAAAAUUUUGUGCCUGGAGGGACUAGCUCCUCCUUCAACGGGUCCUGCUUAAUGUGAGUGUUUCCUCUUGCUGUCGAGACCAAACCGAUAAACCGUUAAUACCAAAACAUUAACCGUCUUUCUGAAUCAGAAAUGGAGACAAGGUUAAAGUGAAGCAAAGAGCGGACAAAGACCUGGUGCACCGCCGUGGAGUUUUUGGUCUUUGUAGUCACCUUCAUCGUCUUCUUCGUCUAGAUCGUGAUCGUCGGGGAUGUGUUCUCCGUGCUCAUGACCAU
rnacentral:lncRNA from 1 species